rnacentral:rRNA from 1 species
AUUGAACGCUGGCGGCAUGCCUUACACAUGCAAGUCGAACGGCAGCACGGGAGCUUGCUCCUGGUGGCGAGUGGCGAACGGGUGAGUAAUACAUCGGAACGUACCCUGAAGUGGGGGAUAACGUAGCGAAAGUUACGCUAAUACCGCACAUUCUGUGAGCAGGAAAGAGGGGGAUCGCAAGACCUCUUGCUUUAGGAGCGGCCGAUGUCGGAUUAGCUAGUUGGUGAGGUAAAGGCUCACCAAGGCGACGAUCCGUAGCGGGUCUGAGAGGAUGAUCCGCCACACUGGGACUGAGACACGGCCCAGACUCCUACGGGAGGCAGCAGUGGGGAAUUUUGGACAAUGGGCGCAAGCCUGAUCCAGCCAUGCCGCGCGAGUGAAGAAGGCCUCGGUU